CCUGACUCCGGUCCGGACCCCGACCCCGAUCCGGACCCCGACCCCGGUCCGGACACAGAUUCCAUUCCGGGCCGCGAAUCCUGUCCGGGCCGCGAAUCCUGUCCGGACCCCGACUCCUCUCCGGACCCCGACUCCUGUUCGGACCUCGAUCCCGGUCCGGACCCUAGCUCGGGUCUCGACCCCAACCCCGAUCCCACCUCCCACCCCUCCCGCGGUCCCAGCCGCGGUCCCCGGCUUGGAAUUCUUCCCGAGUCCGCCCCCAGAGCCCGUUCCGGAGCCCACUUUGUCGCCUGAUAAGGAUCCCGCGCCUACGCCGAGUGUGAAGCACGUCCCAUCAGUCGCCAAUGAGUUCGGGCCCACCCAAGAGCCCCUUUCUGCGCUCGCUCCAUUGGCUACUGAUUUACUGGGGCCCACUCGGGCGUCCAUCCGGAGGGCUGAUCCAGAGGCCACCAAGUUGACGGGUUCUACUGCGGAACCCAUCCCCGCGCCCAUUCAGGAGCCCGUCUCGUCGGCCACCACAUUGGCAUCCGCUAGCGAGUACUUGCAAGUGGACAACAAGAUCGUGAUUCGAGUGAUCUACUGUGGCCUCUGAAGCUAUAACCUUCGGUACAUUGUAUUGAGAAAGAAUCUGGAGCAGCAAUUUCCACAUGGUCUACUCUUUGAGGAGGAGGUAUCUGCCGAGGGGACUGGGGAGUUCGAAGUGCUUGUGGAUGGGACACUGAUUCAUUCGAAGAAGAGAGGUGAUGGCUUUGUGGAUGAGGCCAGGCUUCAGAAAAUUGUGACCGUUAUCAAUGAGAUCAGGAAAAGGUAGCAGGCAACUGGUGAGCUGGAG